UACGAAGGGGGCUAGCGUUGCUCGGAAUCACUGGGCGUAAAGGGUGCGUAGGCGGGUCUUUAAGUCAGGGGUGAAAUCCUGGAGCUCAACUCCAGAACUGCCUUUGAUACUGAGGAUCUUGAGUUCGGGAGAGGUGAGUGGAACUGCGAGUGUAGAGGUGAAAUUCGUAGAUAUUCGCAAGAACACCAGUGGCGAAGGCGGCUCACUGGCCCCGGUACUGACGCUGAGGUGGCG
rnacentral:rRNA from 1 species